rnacentral:rRNA from 1 species
GUGCCAGCCGCCGCGGUAAUACGGAGGGUGCAAGCGUUAAUCGGAAUCACUGGGUGUAAAGGGCACGCAGGCGGCUGGAUAAGUCGGGUGUGAAAGCCCCGGGCUCAACCUGGGAAUGGCAUUCGAUACUGUCUAACUAGAGUCUGGUAGAGGGAAGUGGAAUUUCCGGUGUAGCGGUGAAAUGCGUAGAUAUCGGAAGGAACACCAGUGGCGAAGGCGACUUCCUGGACCAAGACUAACGCUGAGGUGCGAAAGCGUGGGUAGCAAACAGGAUUAGAAACCCUGGUAGUCC